CGAAAUCUAUUUAGGUAGAGCGUCAGAUGAAUACUCCAGGGGGUAGAGCACUGAAUGGGCUAGGGGUCCUCACCGGAUUACCAAACCUUAUCAAACUCCGAAUACCUGGAAGUACUAUCUGGCAGACACACGGCGGGUGCUAACGUCCGUCGUGAAGAGGGAAACAACCCAGACCGCCAGCUAAGGUCCCAAAAUAUUGCUAAGUGGGAAACGAUGUGGGAAGGCUUAGACAGCUAGGAGGUUGGCUUAGAAGCAGCCAUCCUUUAAAGAAAGCGUAACAGCUCACUCAUCAAGCGAUCCUGCGCCGAAAAUGUAACGGGGCUAAAGCCAUUUACCGAAAUUGUGGGCUUCUUUUAGAAGCGGUAGCGGAGCGUUCCGUAAGCCUGUGAAGGUGACCUGUGAGGGUUGCUGGAGGUAUCGGAAGUGAGAAUGUUGACAUGAGUAGCGACAAAGCGGGUGAGAGACCCGCUCGCCGAAAAUCCAAGGGUUCCUGCGUAAAGCUAAUCUGCGCAGGGUUAGCCGGCCCCUAAGGCGAGGCGGAAACGCGUAGCCGAUGGGAACCACGUUAAUAUUCGUGGGCCGAGGAGUGUGUGACGGAUUUCGAAAGUUGUCAUCCCUUAUUGGAUUGGGAUGGCGGCCUGGAAGUCCCAGGAAAUAGCCCUCCAUUAAGACCGUACCCUAAACCGACACAGGUGGAUAGGUAGAGAAUACCAAGGCGC
rnacentral:rRNA from 1 species